GCCUCUUGAUGAUGAUCAAAAUCAUAACUUUCGUUCUUCCGAGAUAAUAAUACAUGCGGAAAAACUAUGGAGACCUGAACUGAAUAUAGGC
rfam:Arabis alpina cultivar Pajares Aa.chr2_contig_2527, whole genome shotgun sequence.